rnacentral:rRNA from 1 species
GUGCCAGCAGCCGCGGUAAUACGUAGGGGGCAAGCGUUGUCCGGAAUUAUUGGGCGUAAAGCGCGCGCAGGCGGUUCAUUAAGUCUUCUGUUUAAUGCUAGGGCUCAACCUUGGUACGCAGGGGAAACUGGUGGACUGGAGUGCAGGAGAGGAAAGUGGAAUUCCACGUGUAGCGGUGAAAUGCGUAGAGAUGUGGAGGAACACCAGUGGCGAAGGCGGCUUUCUGGACUGUAACUGACGCUGAGGCGCGAAAGCGUGGGGAGCAAACAGGAUUAGAUACCCGGGUAGUCC